AGAAGCAGUAAUAAUCUAAAUCCAAUCUAACCUACCCAAGAGACUGAUCCUCUGCAAAUGGCAUAUUCAUGUGGACACUACUUGAGCACCUUCCCGAACUGACCUAUGAUCUGCAGUGCUUUCCUAAAAGCUACUCGUUUCCUGGGAAAACCUCUGCGAUAAGGCUAGGGGAGGAGGAAGAAGAGGCCCAACAGAAGUCCUUAAUGUUCAGACUGCUUUAAUCUAAAAGGCUACUUAACAAAACUGAAAGUUCUCUGCACAAGAACGUGAAUGAGUACCUCUGGAGUGGCCAUGUCAGCACGCCAGUUCAGCUGCAGGACUUGCAGGAUGUGGCACGACUUUUUUGGUGAAAGAAUGAUGCUAUUCUCUUCUAAAGAGUAACACAAUCACCCUUUGAAGCUAAUUGGAGUUGAUGUGCUGGCCUACUGAAAGAGCAGAGCAUGGCCAUAUUUAAGGCGAGAGAUUUUUAAAACUUCUUUAUCCCUCUUUCUCUAGCAUUAAUGAGCAACAAAAAGUUACUCGGGCAAGUAUUUUUUACUUAUGUAUGCAAGUUGCUUGUUUGUUUAUUCUUACACAAAACUAAUUUAGCUAAGAACAGAACUGCUGGGUGCUUUUGUAUUAAACAUCUGUUCUCAAAUAGCCAUAUUUAAUCUAAUAUUCUUAUUUUGCUGAUGGAAACUAAGUUUAGAAACUGCUUUGCUGCUGUUUUUUGUUUGGGUUUUUUUUGCCAGUGUGAGCUGUAUUUUGAGUGAUGGUAUUAAAAAUCAAGCUGCAAUUCUUUUCACAAUAAAAUGGCUGGUAAGUUUA